UGGGGAAUAUUGCGCAAUGGGCGAAAGCCUGACGCAGCGACGCCGCGUGAGGGAUGAAGGUUUUCGGAUCGUAAACCUCUGUCAGAAGGGAAGAAACCGCACUGUGCUAAUCAGCAGUGCCUUGACGGUACCUUCAAAGGAAGCACCGGCUAACUCCGUGCCAGCAGCCGCGGUAAUACGGAGGGUGCAAGCGUUAAUCGGAAUUACUGGGCGUAAAGCGCACGUAGGCUGCUUUGUAAGUCAGGGGUGAAAUCCCACGGCUCAACCGUGGAACUGCCUUUGAUACUGCUUAGCUUGAAUCCGGGAGAGGGUGGCGGAAUUCCAGGUGUAGGAGUGAAAUCCGUAGAUAUCUGGAAGAACAUCAGUGGCGAAGGCGGCCACCUGGACCGGUAUUGACGCUGAGGUGCGAAAGCGUGGGGAGCAAACAGG
rnacentral:rRNA from 1 species